AACGUAGGUGGCGAGCGUUAUCCGGAUCUACUGGGCGUAAAGGGUGCGCAGGCGGUUGGGUGUGUCAGAUGUGAAAUCCCGAGGCUCAACCUCGGAACUGCGUCUGAAACUACUCGACUAGAGUACUGGAGAGGGUAACGGAAUUCACGGUGUAGCAGUGAAAUGCGUAGAUAUCGUGAGGAACACCAGAGGCGAAGGCGGUUACCUGGACAGUUACUGACGCUCAGGCACGAAAGCAUGGGGGAGCAAAAAGGG
rnacentral:rRNA from 1 species